rnacentral:rRNA from 1 species
UAAGGAAUAUUGGACAAUGGGGGCAACCCUGAUCCAGCCAUGCCGCGUGAGUGAAGAAGGCCCUCGGGUUGUAAAGCUCUUUUGUCCGGAAAGAAAAGCAUUCGGUGAAUACCCGGAUGUUCUGACGGUACCGGAAGAAUAAGCACCGGCUAACUUCGUGCCAGCAGCCGCGGUAAUACGAAGGGUGCAAGCGUUACUCGGAAUUACUGGGCGUAAAGCGUGCGUAGGUGGUUGUUUAAGUCUGAUGUGAAAGCCCUGGGCUCAACCUGGGAAUGGCAUUGGAAACUGGGCAGCUAGAGUGCGGUAGAGGGUAGUGGAAUUCCCGGUGUAGCGGUGAAAUGCGUAGAGAUCGGGAGGAACAUCUGUGGCGAAGGCGACUGCCUGGACCAGCACUGACACUGAGGCACGAAAGCGUGGGGAGCAAACA